rnacentral:rRNA from 1 species
GCAAGUCGAACGGUAACAUUUCUAGCUUGCUAGAAGAUGACGAGUGGCGGACGGGUGAGUAAUGCUUGGGAACUUGCCUUUGCGAGGGGGAUAACAGUUGGAAACGACUGCUAAUACCGCAUAAUGUCUUCGGACCAAACGGGGCUUCGGCUCCGGCGCAAAGAGAGGCCCAAGUGAGAUUAGCUAGUUGGUAAGGUAACGGCUUACCAAGGCGACGAUCUCUAGCUGUUCUGAGAGGAAGAUCAGCCACACUGGGACUGAGACACGGCCCAGACUCCUACGGGAGGCAGCAGUGGGGAAUAUUGCACAAUGGGGGAAACCCUGAUGCAGCCAUGCCGCGUGUGUGAAGAAGGCCUUCGGGUUGUAAAGCACUUUCAGUUGUGAGGAAAAGUUAGUAGUUAAUACCUGCUAGCCGUGACGUUAACAACAGAAGAAGCACCGGCUAACUCUGUGCCAGCAGCCGCGGUAAUACGGAGGGUGCGAGCGUUAAUCGGAAUUACUGGGCGUAAAGCGCACGCAGGCGGUUUGUUAAGCUAGAUGUGAAAGCCCCGGGCUCAACCUGGGAUGGUCAUUUAGAACUGGCAGACUAGAGUCUUGGAGAGGGGAGUGGAAUUCC